UACGUAGGGCGCAAGCGUUAUCCGGAAUUAUUGGGCGUAAAGAGCUCGUAGGCGGUUUGUCGCGUCUGCCGUGAAAGUCCGGGGCUCAACUCCGGAUCUGCGGUGGGUACGGGCAGACUAGAGUGAUGUAGGGGAGACUGGAAUUCCUGGUGUAGCGGUGAAAUGCGCAGAUAUCGGGAAGAACACCUAUGGCGAAGGCAGCUCUCUGGGACGGUACUGACGCUGAGACGCGAAAGCGUGGGGAGCGAACAGG
rnacentral:rRNA from 1 species